rnacentral:rRNA from 1 species
GAUAAACGCUGGCGGCGCACAUAAGACAUGCAAGUCGAACGAAGAUCGUUACAAAAUGGAAGGAAGAUUUAUCGGAAUGAAGUUUUGUAACAAUGGUCUUAGUGGCGGACUGGUGAGUAACGCGUAAGUAACCUGCCUGUUAGAGGGGAAUAACAAUGAGAAAUCAUUGCUAAUACCGCAUAUGCCAUAAUUAUCACAUGAUAAUAGUGGGAAAGGAGUAAUUCGCUAACAGAUGGACUUGCGUCUGAUUAGAUAGUUGGUGGGGUAAAGGCCUACCAAGUCGACGAUCAGUAGCCGGACUGAGAGGUUGAACGGCCACAUUGGGACUGAGAUACGGCCCAG